CUGCAGCUGAUGGCUUCAUGAGGGGCGCUUUAUUUAAGAAGGUGGCGGAGCCCCAGUCGGCGCGGGAUUAUACUAAGUCGAACCUGAGUCGGGAGUCAGGAACGUCGUCACGAGGGGAAAUCACAGAGUGGAAUCGGGUUUUUGGAGUUGUCACCUUUUCACUGCUAUGGACACGUGCACUGUGUGGGAUUCUUGGAGGAAUCGCCACAGGAGUCACAGUGCUUGAAUUGUAUAUAGUUGUCGUUUCUGUCCACUCGCCAUAAAUAAAUCCACUGUCCUUCACUUGA